CGGUGUUCAACUGGCGUGUCCGCGGGACGUCCUGCCGGUGGGCUUAGCCCGCAAGGGCGGCCCAACUUCAAAUCCCAUCGCGGUGCUCUUCACUGAGUGUCGAGGUGGGCCGGCACGUUUACUUUGAACAAAUUAGAGUGCUUAAAGCAGGCUAAAACUUCGCCUGAAUACUGUGUGCAUGGAAUAAUGGAAUAGGACCUCGGUUCUAUUUUGUUGGUUUUCGGAACCCCGAGGUAAUGAUUAAUAGGAACGGAUGGGGGCAUUCGUAUUGCGACGUUAGAGGUGAAAUUCUUGGAUCGUCGCAAGACGGACAGAAGCGAAAGCAUUUGCCAAAAACGCUUUCAUUGAUCAAGAACGAAAGUUAGAGGUUCGAAGGCGAUCAGAUACCGCCCUAGUUCUAACCAUAAACGAUGCCAGCUAGCGAUCCGUCGACGUUCCUCCGAUGACUCGACGGGCAGCUUCCGGGAAACCAAAGCUUUUGGGUUCCGGGGGAAGUAUGGUUGCAAAGCUGAAACUUAAAGGAAUUGACGGAAGGGCACCACCAGGAGUGGAGCGUGCGGCUUAAUUUGACUCAACACGGGAAACCUCACCAGGCCCGGACACCGGAAGGAUUGACAGAUUGAGAGCUCUUUCUUGAUUCGGUGGGUGGUGGUGCAUGGCCGUUCUUAGUUGGUGGAGCGAUUUGUCUGGUUAAUUCCGAUAACGAACGAGACUCUAGCCUGCUAACUAGGCGUAUUUUCGACAUCUCAAAGGUCCGUCGUCCCGGCCCUCGGGUCGUGGGCGUGCGCGAUUUUUACUGUCGGCGUACUAUCAAUUCUUCUAGAGGGACAGGUGGCUUCUAGCCGCACGAGAUUGAGCAAUAACAGGUCUGUGAUG
rnacentral:rRNA from 1 species